rnacentral:rRNA from 1 species
CCAGACUCCUACGGGAGGCAGCAGUGGGGGAUAUUGCACAAUGGGGGGAACCCUGAUGCAGCGACGCCGCGUGGGUGAAGGAGCGUUUCGGCGCGUAAAGCCCUAUCGGCAGGGAAGAAAUUGGACGGUACCUGACUAAGAAGCCCCGGCUAACUACGUGCCAGCAGCCGCGGGAAUACGUAGGGGGCAAGCGUUAUCCGGAGUCACUGGGUGUAAAGGGGGCGUAGACGGCCAUGCAAGCCUGGAGUGAAAGGCCGGGGCCCAACCCCGGGACUGCUCUGGGAACUGUGCGGCUGGAGUGCGGGAGGGGCAGGCGGAAUUCCUGGUGUAGCGGUGAAAUGCGUAGAUAUCAGGAGGAACACCGGCGGCGAAGGCGGCCUGCUGGACCGCGACUGACGUUGAGGCUCGAAGGCGUGGGGAGCAAACAGGAUUAGAUACCCGAGUAA